rnacentral:misc_RNA from 1 species
GGAGUAAAAGUCGUAACAAGGUCUCCGUAGGUGAACCUGCGGAGGGAUCAUUACAGAGUUCUCGCCCUCACGGGUAGAUCUCCCACCCACUGUUAUCGUUACUGUCGUUUCUUUGGCGGGCCGCCGGGUCCCCGGCCGCCGGCGCCUAGCUGCCGGCGCGCGCCCGCCAGAGGCCUUCAAACUCUGAAUGUUAGUGUCGUCUGAGUACUAUAUAAUAGUUAAAACUUUCAACAACGGAUCUCUUGGUUCUG